CGUGGUGUAGUGGUUAGUGCAUCGGACUACUAACACAAAGGUUCCUGGUUCUAUUCCCGUUUGGGAUGAAAAUUUCAGGAACUCAAUUUUCGGCUCUCCCUUGACACCAUCUGCGAGUAUGGUCUUGAGGAAACGAUGAUAGUCCGUCGGAAGGGGACGAUAAAUGGCUGACCCGUGUUAAGAGAGAGUCAUAUCUCUUGCACGUUAAAGACACCCUUGUAGAUUUUGAAAAAGAGUAGGCUAAUGCCGCUACAAGGCAGCACUCGCACCCGCAAAGUGGAAAGGGAUUAAUAUAAGUUGUAAA
rnacentral:lncRNA from 1 species